rnacentral:sRNA from 1 species
GCUGGGCAUGGUGGCCCACACCUGUAUUCCCAGUGACUCAGGAGGCUAAGACAGAGGAGUGCAUGUUUAAGGCCAGCCUCAGCAACUUAGCGAGGCCUUAAGCAACUUUGCAAGACCCUGUCUCAA